GAAGGCCUGGAGCUCAGCUGGCCCAGAUCUGCUAGCAGUUCUGGAAUGGUUGGCAACUUUCCCUUUCAGAUGAUGUUGUUUGGCAUCAUAGCCCCAGCAUGUUUACCUGAAACCCCGUGCCAUGCUGUUCGCAGCAAGUUUGUGAAACAUAUCAAACCAUCAGCAGUUUUCCUUCUUGAAUUUGUGGAGAAUCUAAAACCUGCCUCAUGCAGGAGCAAGGCCAUGGCAGCAGAGUGUCAGUGCAUGGUGUAGGUGCCCAGCAGUGUGUGUCACUGGCUUCAGGCCCAUUGCACGAAGCAUCAGCAGAUUCUCUACCAGCCUCACUGGAAACUUGUAAAGCUACUGCAACGUUUUCCAUUGGAAACCAAUAUCCAGAUGCUCAGCUUGGAAAAGGAGGAGCGCACAGCUUCCUAGAGGCAACUGAUGGCGUGAGGAACGUGCAGUGCUGCACUGUGGGGUUACACAAGCAGCAUGAGGUCAUCAAACUGAAAGACUGGAGUACAGGUAUCUGAAAGACUUUGUAGUACCCGGCUUCAGAGUUUGUCAGGACCAAAGCAGCUGUGCGAAUGCGUCGUCGUUCCUGAUUAGGCACUUCUGAUGUUCAGUCUCCUAAUCUGAAGAAAGUCAGGGAAUUUUGCAUCAUUGUGUCAGCAAGAUCCUGCACUUCAUCAUCUGUCCAAGAAGAGAACAGCAAAGCUGAGCAAGGUCAGAGAACUGAGCCGUCCAAGGAAGGUCCUUGCAGGUCUGCUGAGACACAGAUGAAGCUGGACCAACAAGCAAAGCAGUCGCUCUGUAGGUUGAUGCUGAAGAAGACCCAGGAAUGUCUAAGAACAAACGUGUUAUUGCCCGUGUUUUCCUUAGAACCACAGAACGCCUUGAGUUGGGAGGGACCUCAAAGAUCAUCCUGUUCCACUCCCACACCAUGGGCAGGAUUGCCAACUUAUUCAGCCUCUGCCCUUCACGAUGACUUUCCUCAAUACUUGCAUUUGAAUGUUGCUUUCCCCUUUCUGGAUGAUUAUCUGUCCUCUGCUGUGAGGAGGAAUGAAGCUAUAAGGACUCAUUGCCAAGAAAUGCUAGUGGAUACACACCUUCAACCCCCUCUCGCAGAGAACUGUUGAUGGGCUUACGUGGCUGAGGUAUUUAUGAAGGAACUUUUUGUACAAGGAACCUGAUAUUAAAGUAAUGUCAAUCUCAAGGAAAGCCAUCGUUAGACGUGCAUUAAUAUCAGUUCAUUGCGAAAAUGUGCAGUUCAGAGGACUGAGACAAAGAGGAGAUGCUCUGCAGAGGAAAGUGGGACCACAGAAGGGCUGGUGUGAGCUGUGCCUGGGUCCAGAAAGCCCCUGAGCCUCUGUGAAGGAGGCUGGGCUUCCUGAGGUAUCGAGGGACAAUCAGUCACCAUCCACACUCAACAAACUAGAAGAUGAUACUGCAGGAUUCAAUGUAGCUCUGUAAUGUUUGGGGAGGUGUGACUAUGUUGGAGAAAGCAGUAAAUAAAAAUACAACUCUAUUGGAAUUUAAUGUAACCAUCUAACAAGUGAGUACUUGUACCUGUGUGCUUAUAUAAAUAACUCAGCCAAAGGAAAGGAAAAACUGUGAACUUAAUAAGCAUCGAUUAAUGUACAAAAUGUAAGGCCAACACUAUAAAGUUAUCCUCAGCUCUAUGCUAAUUCUGCAGCCAUUUCCAUAGAGGCUCUUUCUGAUUGGAAGCAGAUAAUGUCUGCUUCUCCAUUCUGUCAAGAAAAAUCAAUUUGGGGACAUCAUAGAGUAAAUCAAUAUUUUCCUACUACAUUACCUGUGUUUCUUGCAUAUACCAAGCCCCAUUCCUCGUACAGGCAAAUCUGUGUUUCCAAAGCUAACAGAGGGUGCCACUGUACUGUGCUUAUGCAGAAAACAUUAAGAAUAAUGUUGUGUCAAUAUUGCACUAACUCUAAUCGCAGCAACAUUUUUAAGGACUCUUGGACAACUCAUUAUUAGCAUUUCAAGCAUUAUGAAAAUAGACAAAGGCAUUGCUUUACCUGCAAUAAAGUUCAAUGGAUAUAGCAAGAGUAUUACACACGUAAUUACCACCAUGGUAAUUUAUUCAAUAAAGCUCCCAUUUAAUUACAGGAACCUAUUACACUGAGUGAUGUGUUUAGUGUGAUUUAUAUCUCAGACAUAAAUAUUCAGAGAGACCCAUGAUGAAAAGUGCUCCUGGCUCCUCUCCAUCUGCGUUUCACUUGGGGUGCUGAUACAGGGAGGCACAACAGUGGGUCCCACUGGAUGGCCACGUGCCCAUAGGAGGUGGCUCAAGGACUGCAGCUUACAGUCCACCUGCUGUGAUCAGCUCUGCAUGGCAAGUGGGAGAAACCACCACUCAAGUUGGUGAUCAUUCUGGAAACAAUCAUUGCCAGCUGUUGGACCUGGGAUGGGAAAGGGCAGAGCCAGCAGGAUGAAGGGUGAAUAAAGCCCAUAGGCUCAAAGGCCCUAUUGAACACUCUGGCCAGACUUCUCUUUCUGUCAGCUAAAUGUGGAGACCAGCUCCUUGCUCCAGCAAGCAUUUGAUUAGGGAAAUAGUAACCAUUAUUUGGUGAUGAUUCCCUGCAGCUCAAGACUUGUCCUCUGCCACCAGAGGCAUACAUAACCCAGUGGUGAUCUGUGACAUAUAAUCUAUGAUAUCUCCUCUUACAACAUUUUGCUCAUCAUCAAACACCAAGAAAGCUGAAAUAGUAACAAAAUUUUCUUUAAGUCUCUUUGUGCAUGCAUCAACAGACCGUGUAUCUGAAAUAAUAGCAAUAUAUACUGAUGUACAUUAAAUUCAGAAUACAGAGAAUUUUUGUUCAUGGUGUGGAAAAUUAAAUAUUGUUUCCUACCAGCAUGACAUUGCAGUGUGCUCGCAGCUGCCUGCGCUCUCGCCGCCCUCGUUCCUUUCUGCUGGUGCCCUUGGGGCAUCUGAAGGCCGUGGUGACUGCACAGAGCUUCUGAACUCCAGAGCUUUAAAAGAGAAAGAUAUUUAGCGUUGUAAUAAGUCUCUGUCUCUGUAUGAGCCGAAUGUGCACUGUUUUAGUACCAUAAAAUCUGCAGAAUCACUCCAUUACUUAAGGUUUGUCAUCUACAGAUCUCAAAACUCAGAAGAAACAGCAGAAUGAAAACAUUUCUAUUUGAACAGAGCGCAUUUUUCAGCACCCAUUCCUCAGAAGAUGCUCGCUUCUGUUAUCACAAACUUAAACAACAGCAAAAACCUCAAACUCAUUCAGACUCAACCAUGUCAAACCUGACAGGAAAUGACGAUGCUCAUAAAAGCCUCAGCUUUCUACAGGGACAUCUUGCUUUUGGAAGGUGUUACCAAUUGAUAACACAAGUAAUAGUCAGCAUUCUGCAUCUAUGCUGAUACUCAAAGCUGCUGUCAGAGCUGUUCUUUAUUGACAUUGUCACGAAGGCUUUGCUCCCUAGGUAAAGAUGUUUUUGCCAGAAACAGCUGACAACAUUCCAUAAGCCAUUUCUUAGUUUAACUAUGUUAAAAGUCCAUUUUUAGAGACCAUCUUCACAACAGGCAUUUGUGAAUUUACCUAAAGGCUCACUUAGAGUCUUAAAAAAGCAUUUUAACUUGAAACUAAAUCUGGGUCUGUGUCACUACAACCAUGGGCAAGGAGCUGACGUCCUGUGUACUGACCUGGUGAGGGGCUGUACCAGCCCAGAGGAGUCCUGUUCCCUACACAGCACUCCUACUACACCAUGAAAGAUUAAUGAUGACCAGGUAGAUACUGCUUAGUCGCUUAGUGCCACAACACGUGCUCAUUCUGCUUUGUCAUUAUGCGUUUGUAAUUUCAAACCUUGUCCUUGAUGAGCUUUUAAUGAUGAGGAAACUACUCAACAAUCGAUGCUCAAGAGGUUGAAAUAAGAAAGCCACUUCAGCCACGUAGGAACCAUUGCAGAACUCCAGAGAUGCUUCAUUGCAGCAUGACAAAAGCUAGGAGGAAUGCUGUGGAGCGAUGGGGAUCUGUGGAGGAACAAAGCAAGAAUUUCUGUUCCCAUUGCUGUAUUCUCCUUCAACACAUGCUGAAAACAAUGCUGGAAAUAAAAAGAAUAAACUAUUUUGGUGCUGACAUUAUUUAACCUCACUUUAACGUAACACUUAAGGCAAGUCACUGAAGAUCAAAUCUACUGAAAGAUCUAAACAGUUUGCAUCCAGUGGAGUCAAAAGCUGCAGGUUCUGGCUCAGGACCUCAUGGCUCAGUCCUGCUGUGGUCUCACCCUUCUGGUGAUCAGAGCUCAGUGCCAUUUCACCCCAAUCAGCUCUUACUUCCAACCUAAUUUGACUGAGCUGGAGAAACCUCACACUCUCCAGAGAUUGAUUCUCCUCAAACACAGCACACAGAUAAAUAUUUUACAAGCCAUAUAAUCGAAUCACUUUCCAUUUUUCUCUUUCGCAUCUGCUGCAUGAAGGAGAUGCUGGUACCAACCUGCAGCAGUCAGGUCUGAUGCCAGGGGUCAGCAGGCACAGCUCUCCAUGUGCCAGCCUCUGCCCAUCCCUCCUCUUCCUUGGGCUCCCUCCUAGGUUCCAAAAAUAACAUUUGCUACCAUUCAGGUUAGUUUUUGACAUUGUUUUAACUCCUGCUCAACUAUAAUGAUUAUUAAAAAUAUAUAACUGCUCAUUUGUCCCAGAAAACACAUUCCUGAGGCCCUGUGCAUCAGUGGUCUGCAGUGACCUCACUGUUAGUAACAAACUUUGCACCGAGACUACUGAUGUGUGAAACCCUGAGCAGGAAGAAAACUCUACAUGUGGUGACACCCUUUAGCACCCAGUGGUCAGUAGCUAAUACAGUGUGCCUUGAAUGUGGCUACAGGGAAUUAACACUUGACACAUCAGGAUCCCACUGCAAUAACCCUACGCUUUCGACUUCAAAGUCGACAGAAGAGUAAUGUCGAGAUCAAAGACUUCCAGCACAAUUACAGGUUUUGAAGUCUGCAGGCCAUAGAAAUGGGAGGCAUUUUCCUUGAUUUGCUCUUGUAGUUUUAUGAACUCCCAAGACCUUUGAGUCACUGUUCCAAUUUUUGAUGCAAACUAAUAUUUGAUGCACAAGGAUCUGAAGGAGAGAAGGAAUUUCAGAUUAAUCUGUGCUGGCAGCAGAUGCUCUUUAACUUCCCACUGAUUGCUCAGAUAGAAUGUAAGGUUUUCCUCUGGAAAAACAAAAAAAAUCUCCCUUUUACCAUCUUAAUUAAGGAACUCCUCCAGUCCAACUUUUUUUUUUUACAACUGAGACAGCAGUAGUAGUCAGACACUCAGAAUCAUACAAUUUCCUGAUACUGUGACAGAUACGUGAUUGUCCAUUUUUCUGGUACAUGCGUUUAUCAAAUCCCUUUAUCCUUCUCUAUAUAUGAGCAAUCUUUUCUUCCUGCUCAUCUACUCGCUUUUAUCAAUAUUGGUUGCCUCGAUUCUUCUGCCAGAAGUUAUCUUUCUUCCAUGAUGUUCCACGAUGGAUCAUUUCAAAUAGAUGUAAUCAAUUGUGUUUAUUGUGAAAUUCAGUAUUUUGUGGGGAAAUAUUUUUAACUUCUUACCGGACAGCCGCUUGUAACCAGGACAUCAGGAGCACCAGAAAUGCACUGUCCCUUUUACUGCUCUUGAAUGGAAGAGCAGAUGCUGGUUUAAGGCUCAUCUAUGAUAUGGUCUAGAUUUAAACAAGAAAUAAUUGCUCAAUUACCAUGACAACAUGCCUGUGCUCAAUAUUCCGAAUGAGCUAUAAAACCUCAAUAGGAAACGAUUAACUCAGGCCUUACAAUCCAUUUCAGACAGUGCUGAAGUAAAACCUGACCAGUUUGCAUUGCACCCUGAGCACCUGCAAAAGCUGGAGAGGGCAAAAAGCACCCACUGCACUUUGGACAGCAAGGAAGUGCCAAUGCUGCCAGCACUGCUGUGUGGGGACUCCUGAAAGUCGCAAUUACUGCUUCCGUGUGGAAACUCAAUUGCUUAUCCUUUAUGAGAGAUAAUCUUUGAAUGUAGCAGUGCACCGCAUUAACCCCAUUUGUUCACAAGACAGUCCUGGGCAGUUAACAUGUUUAUAAAUCCUGUGUCUAUUUGGGGGGCUACAGUUGGGUGAUAUCCUCUUUCUGCACUACAGAGUCCUUGUAAAACAGGCUUAAUAUAGCAAUAAACCUGUUUAUUUUUGUUACGAUUCUUCCAUCACUCUCUUACUGCUUCUGUUUUCUUUUUGAAAGCACUUGAUUGUACCAUUCUCUGUCUGUUUUCAGCAUCAUAAAAUGAAAUUCACCUCAUUGAUCAAACGAUGACCUCU